UACGUAGGUGGCAAGCGUUAUCCGGAAUUAUUGGGCGUAAAGAGCGCGCAGGUGGUUGAUUAAGUCUGAUGUGAAAGCCCACGGCUUAACCGUGGAGGGUCAUUGGAAACUGGUCGACUUGAGUGCAGAAGAGGGAAGUGGAAUUCCAUGUGUAGCGGUGAAAUGCGUAGAGAUAUGGAGGAACACCAGUGGCGAAGGCGGCUCUCUGGACUGUAACUGACACUGAGGCACGAAAGCGUGGGGAGCAAACAGGAUUAGA
rnacentral:rRNA from 1 species